CGAAAUCGGUAGACGCUACGGACUUAAAAUCCGUCGACUUUAAAAAUCGUGA
rnacentral:tRNA from 10 species